rnacentral:rRNA from 1 species
UUCAUCUCCGGGGGUAGAGCACUGUUUCGGCUAGGGGGCCAUCCCGGCUUACCAACCCGAUGCAAACUGCGAAUACCGGAGAAUGUUAUCACGGGAGACACACGGCGGGUGCUAACGUCCGUCGUGAAGAGGGAAACAACCCAGACCGCCAGCUAAGGUCCCAAAGUCAUGGUUAAGUGGGAAACGAUGUGGGAAGGCCCAGACAGCCAGGAUGUUGGCUUAGAAGCAGCCAUCAUUUAAAGAAAGCGUAAUAGCUCACUGGUCGAGUCGGCCUGCGCGGAAGAUGUAACGGGGCUAAACCAUGCACCGAAGCUGCGGCAGCGACACUAUGUGUUGUUGGGUAGGGGAGCGUUCUGUAAGCCUGCGAAGGUGGCCUGUGAGGGUUGCUGGAGGUAUCAGAAGUGCGAAUGCUGACAUAAGUAACGAUAAAGCGGGUGAAAAGCCCGCUCGCCGGAAGACCAAGGGUUCCUGUCCAACGUUAAUCGGGGCAGGGUGAGUCGACCCCUAAGGCGAGGCCGAAAGGCGUAGUCGAUGGGAAACGGGUUAAUAUUCCCGUACUUGGUGUUACUGCGAAGGGGGGACGGAGAAGGCUAUGUUGGCCGGGCGACGGUUGUCCCGGUUUAAGCGUGUAGGUGUGUGUUCCAGGUAAAUCCGGUUCACUUUAACACUGAGGCGUGACGACGAGGCACUACGGUGCUGAAGCAACAAAUGCCCUGCUUCCAGGAAAAGCCUCUAAGCAUCAGGUAACAUCAAAUCGUACCCCAAACCGACACAGGUGGUCAGGUAGAGAAUACCAAGGCGCUUGAGAGAACUCGGGUGAAGGAACUAGGCAAAAUGGUGCCGUAACUUCGGGAGAAGGCACGCUGACACGUAGGUGAAGUGAUUUACUCACGGAGCUGAAGUCAGUCGAAGAUACCAGCUGGCUGCAACUGUUUAUUAAAAACACAGCACUGUGCAAACACGAAAGUGGACGUAUACGGUGUGACGCCUGCCCGGUGCCGGAAGGUUAAUUGAUGGGGUCAGCGCAAGCGAAGCUCCUGAUCGAAGCCCCGGUAAACGGCGGCCGUAACUAUAACGGUCCUAAGGUAGCGAAAUUCCUUGUCGGGUAAGUUCCGACCUGCACGAAUGGCGUAAUGAUGGCCAGGCUGUCUCCACCCGAGACUCAGUGAAAUUGAACUCGCUGUGAAGAUGCAGUGUACCCGCGGCAAGACGGAAAGACCCCGUGAACCUUUACUAUAGCUUGACACUGAACAUUGAGCCUUGAUGUGUAGGAUAGGUGGGAGGCUUUGAAGCGUGGACGCCAGUCUGCGUGGAGCCGACCUUGAAAUACCACCCUUUAAUGUUUGAUGUUCUAACGUGGACCCGUGAUCCGGGUUGCGGACAGUGUCUGGUGGGUAGUUUGACUGGGGCGGUCUCCUCCUAAAGAGUAACGGAGGAGCACGAAGGUUGGCUAAUCCUGGUCGGACAUCAGGAGGUUAGUGCAAUGGCAUAAGCCAGCUUGACUGCGAGCGUGACGGCGCGAGCAGGUGCGAAAGCAGGUCAUAGUGAUCCGGUGGUUCUGAAUGGAAGGGCCAUCGCUCAACGGAUAAAAGGUACUCCGGGGAUAACAGGCUGAUACCGCCCAAGAGUUCAUAUCGACGGCGGUGUUUGGCACCUCGAUGUCGGCUCAUCACAUCCUGGGGCUGAAGUAGGUCCCAAGGGUAUGGCUGUUCGCCAUUUAAAGUGGUACGCGAGCUGGGUUUAGAACGUCGUGAGACAGUUCGGUCCCUAUCUGCCGUGGGCGCUGGAGAACUGAGGGGGGCUGCUCCUAGUACGAGAGGACCGGAGUGGACGCAUCACUGGUGUUCGGGUUGUCAUGCCAAUGGCACUGCCCGGUAGCUAAAUGCGGAAGAGAUAAGUGCUGAAAGCAUCUAAGCACGAAACUUGCCCCGAGAUGAGUUCUCCCUGAGACUUUAGGUCUCCUGAAGGAACGUUGAAGACGACGACGUUGAUAGGCCGGGUGUGUAAGCGCAGCGAUGCGUUGAGCUAACCGGUACUAAUGAACCGUGAGGCUUAACCUUACAACGCCGAAG